rnacentral:rRNA from 1 species
GAUGAACGCUGGCGGCGUGCCUAAUACAUGCAAGUCGAGCGAACAGACGAGGAGCUUGCUCCUCUGACGUUAGCGGCGGACGGGUGAGUAACACGUGGAUAACCUACCUAUAAGACUGGGAUAACUUCGGGAAACCGGAGCUAAUACCGGAUAAUAUAUUGAACCGCAUGGUUCAAUAGUGAAAGACGGUUUUGCUGUCACUUAUAGAUGGAUCCGCGCCGCAUUAGCUAGUUGGUAAGGUAACGGCUUACCAAGGCAACGAUGCGUAGCCGACCUGAGAGGGUGAUCGGCCACAAUGGAACUGGGACACGGUCCAGACUCCUACGGGAGGCAGCAGUAGGGAAUCUUCCGCAAUGGGCGAAAGCCUGACGGAGCAACGCCGCGUGAGUGAUGAAGGUCUUCGGAUCGUAAAACUCUGUUAUUAGGGAAGAACAAAUGUGUAAGUAACUAUGCACGUCUUGACGGUACCUAAUCAGAAAGCCACGGCUAACUACGUG